GAGAAUGUCUCGAACGUAGUAUUCAGCAUGCUCUUAGGACAAUUCAAAGUUCUAGAUCCAAAGGGACGGUCAUGUUGGAUGACUGACGUGUUCGUUCUUCCAUCCACAGCACUUGUCUUUAUAUAGAUCAACUACAUGGUUACAGACUGAUAUAGUAAGGGGGCAUGUCAGGACCACCUAAAGAGAAGAUGAUAUAUGGUGCUUCCUGAGGUGCAUUCUCCUAAGUAAUAAAUGGUAAACUGGAGAACAUUUAUUUGAAACGAAAUACAGGUGAUGAAGCUGUGACAAAUACGAUAACCUAAUCAUCCAACAGAAAUCGCCUUAAAGCAUAAAGCGCCGGCAAGACCGUGUGGCCGUGGAAAGAUGCGUCAGGCUCUCAGCUGCAACCUAAGACCCAGGAAGACAUGCAUGUCUGUGACUCAAAGCAAGUCAUGGUUUAUGAGCCACUGAAAGGAACAGAGGUGGAACAAGGCAGCUGAUGAAUUUUCUUUACGAUCCAUUUGUGCCAAGAACGUGAGAAAGAGAAGAGUUUCCUGCUCACAGAAGGCCAGUGUGCUGCCCUACAAGUUUGUCCUGGUCCCACUUUUGAUUCCAAACCAGGAGCCUGAAGAAGGAUGAGGGUGCGACAGUCAAGGAAACGAUUUGUGUCAGAGCAUCUACACUAACGCCCGAUCUACCCAUCACCUGUCAACGCAAGGCCAGAUAAAAAGUGCAUACGUACUGCUACUCGAGAGCCAUGAAAAACAAUUACAUAAAUUACAUCUACCACAUUUGUUUCUCCGAUUUUUUCGCUCUGACUGGUGGCUGACAUUUACUUUAAAAAUGUUCAAUCAAGGGGCCCCUGGGUGGCUCAGUCUGUUGGGCGGCUGACUUUGGCUGAGGUCAUGAUCUCACAGCUCAUGAGUUCGAGCCCCGUGUUGGGCUCUGUGCUGACAGCUCAGUGCCCAGAACCUGCUUCAGAUACUGUGUCUCCCUCUCUCUCUACCCCUCCCACGCUCAUGCUCUCUCUCUCUCUCAAAAAUAAA